rnacentral:rRNA from 1 species
UAGGGAAUAUUGCGCAAUGGGGGAAACCCUGACGCAGCUAUGCCGCGUGUGUGAAGAAGGCCUUAGGGUUGUAAAGCACUUUCAAUUGGGAGGAAAAGCUCAGGGUUAAUACCCCUGUGCCCUGACGUUACCUUUAGAAGAAGCACCGGCUAACUCCGUGCCAGCAGCCGCGGUAAUACGGAGGGUGCGAGCGUUAAUCGGAAUUACUGGGCGUAAAGCGCGCGUAGGCGGUUUGUUAAGUCGGAUGUGAAAGCCCCGGGCUCAACCUGGGAACUGCAUCCGAUACUGGUCGACUAGAGUGCGAGAGAGGGAGGUAGAAUUCCACGUGUAGCGGUGAAAUGCGUAGAUAUGUGGAGGAAUACCGGUGGCGAAGGCGGCCUCCUGGCUCGACACUGACGCUAAGGUGCGAAAGCGUGGGGAGCAAACAGG